UAAAGGAAAUCAUCUCACCAAGCUUCACGUGGCUGCUCCUUCUCCUCAGUGUACGGCGUACAGCACUCAGGUGGUGCUGGCUUCACCAUGAUUACACCAGGAGGUAAAGUGACUACCUGGCACACGCAGCCUGUACUUGGGACAUGAGUUCUAGAGUUCUGCUCAUAUGAUGUCGUGUUCCAACGUUCUGAUGCUUCGUCAUGGAAUACAAAUAGUUCCACAUUAUGCUAAUGAGAACAGGGGCCACAUGCAGCCCAGUUUGAUCUCAAGUGGGCCGGACCAG